rnacentral:rRNA from 1 species
UCAGGAUGAACGCUAGCUACAGGCUUAACACAUGCAAGUCGAGGGGCAGCAUCAGGUUAGCUUGCUAAUCUGGAUGGCGACCGGCGCACGGGUGAGUAACGCGUAUCCAACCUUCCCCCUGCUCAGGGAUAGCCCGGUGAAAACCGGAUUAAGACCUGAUAGUUUCACUAGAUGGCAUCUGACGGUGAAUAAAGGUUUCGGCAAGGGAUGGGGAUGCGUCUGAUUAGCUUGUUGGCGGGGUAACGGCCCACCAAGGCGACGAUCAGUAGGGGUUCUGAGAGGAAGGUCCCCCACAUUGGAACUGAGACACGGUCCAAACUCCUACGGGAGGCAGCAGUGAGGAAUAUUGGUCAAUGGGCGGAAGCCUGAACCAGCCAAGUAGCCGUGCAGGAAGACGGCCCUAUGGGUUGUAAACCGCUUUAGCCGGGGAGUAACGUGCGGGACGCGUCCCGCAGUGAGAGUACCCGGAGAAUAAGCAUCGGCUAACUCCGUGCCAGCCGCCGC